AAUGAAGAGCCUGGGGAAAGGAUUAUUUUGAUAGAAUAAAAUACGUAAUUUAAAGUUACCUUCAUUA
rnacentral:tRNA from 1 species